CGAUAUUUUUCUCUUUUCUUCUUCAGAAGUAAAACAAAUCCUCUGACGUAGAUUCCUUUUUAACUGCAUGCCUCAAGCAGGCCUUUACCAUAAUUUGUUUUGACUCUGGGGCAAGCUGUUCUCUAUCACAGACCCCCGGUAUCAAAGAUGGGCAUUUCCAACUAAGUUACAUAAGCUUCUCCUCCUCCACUGAAUCCCACGAAAUUAUUUUGCUCACUCAGUCCUUCCAAGAUUUCUCUGAUCAACGAGAUGGUUGAGUCCAUAGGUAGUCACCCAGUCAGCUCAUGAGAAGAAACCUUACUUGCACCUUUACUUACGAAACCUAUCCACAUUAAUCUAUCAUGGGCAAGCCCUUUGUACAUGAUGGCUGAAGUAAAGUUGUUAGGAAGAG
rnacentral:lncRNA from 1 species